AUUCCUUAUUAUGCUAAAAUAGUCUAGGGGUAGUGCAAUGAUACAUUAUAGUUUCUCAAAUAUCACAUCGCCAAGACUCUAGAUGUUUAUGUUUUUAGCAUUAUUUAAGUAUUGCAAGUUACAACUGUGUUACACGAAAAUGAAUCAACUGGACAAGUUAAUUAGCUUUGCCAUAUCAGCAGUUAGUUACGGGCUGUUGAAUUAGUUAGAAGCAAUUAGCGAAUUAUAUUCACUCUCAUUACUUAUAAAAGAAAUUGUAUCUACAAAUUCAAUCAUCAAUUGAACAAUAAUACAGUUUUCCUAAUUGAAUUCUAUUUUCAUCUUCUUCUCGAAUCCACCCCCAUAGCUGAUUACUCGAGUUUUCUCCGUAAAGACUCCUGUCCAGCUACUAAAAACUCGGAUUCCUCGGUGAAUGCCUGCAUUUUGGCUAUCAUUGGUAUCAAAGACAUCCUUUCCUUGGAUUUACGAUGACAAAGACAACAAGAUCUUCAGAGAAUUCUGCUUCUGAAGUGGUUGAAUUAAGAGAAAUGAUGCAGAAAUUGAUUUCAGAAAUUGGUGUUCUUAAUGGUGCAGUGGAGAAAUUGAAGAAAUUGAAUCAAAUGGUGAUGGAAUUAAAGGAGCAACUAGAAGGGAAUCAAAAGGAUAUUACUCCUACAACAGAUGAGAUUGAAACUUCAGGGGAAAGACUGUCGAGAGAGAGACAAUUGGUGGAAGAGCCCAGAAACAAGAAUCCUCUGGGUUACCAACAAGGUAUAGCUCGUUACUCUAAACUAGAUUUUCCAAGAUUUUCUUGAGAGGAUGUGAGUUCUUGGUUAUUUAGAGUGGAGCAGUUUUUCGAGUUUGAGGAAAUUGCCGUGGAUCAAAAAGUAGGACUAACAGCAAUACACUUGGAAGGUGAAGCUAUUCAGUGGCAUCAAUCCUUCAUGAAGUAUAGACAAUACAUUCAACCUCCAUCUUGGAAUGAAUAUGCGGUAGCUUUGGUGGAAAGAUUUGGGGCAGGUUCCCCAAAGAAGCAAAUAGGGCAUCAUAGCUGAUCCGGAGAUCACCGAUUGGCUAUCUUUAGCUUCAAAGGACAAGUUUUUGGUGGUGUCGUCUGAUGGAAUAUUUGAAAGGUUAACUCCUCAGGAAGUCUGUGAUUUUCUAAAUGAAGUAGAGGACCAUUCAGAUGCAUCAUUAUUGGCUCAACAACUCAUUCAGAAAGCAUAUUUAGAGGGCAGCAAAGAUAAUUUGUCAGUUAUUUUGGUUACCUUGGGAUCAUGACACCUCCUAUAGAUGGUUUAUCAACUGUUUUGGUUCCACUAGGAUGUCGAGGUUUUAGAAAGUUCUAUCCUCUGAGAAAGUAUGUAAUGAAGACCAGCAUAGAACUGUAAUUACAACUCUGAUCUUGUUGAAUAGUAUUUCCAUAGUGAUUGGAAAGAUGUCAUUCAUUUUUUGUUUGUA